rnacentral:hammerhead_ribozyme from 1 species
AUCCAGCUGACGAAUUCCGAAUCGGACGCAACGCGCGUCCUGGAU